AUGGAUUUUUUUUUUUUUUUUUUUUUGGCUUAUGUUAAGCUGAUGAAUGCUCUCACGGCCAGGGUCACGGACGAAGCUGUGAAAUGUGUCAGAAAGCGCGAGAUUCAGCCAGUUUCUCCUCUGCUCCUCCAGCGUCAGUACCCGAAAGGAGGGGAGGGUGUGGAGAAUCGGGGUCCUCCAGGGACCCCUGCGCCGAGGAGCAGAGCCCUGCAAAGCCACGCGUACAAUGGCCACUCUCAGCCAAGCGCCAUCACCUUGCGCCCCGGGGUGGGGGGGAGCGGGGAGGGGUCUCCAGGCCCCGACACACACACACACACACACACACACACAUACAACCCGACUCGCGCGCGUCUUGGCUUCCGACCCACGUGGUCUUCCAAGUCGUCCACCGGCACGCUCCGUCUACGCCGCAAGGUGACAGACAGCCUCUCGGCUUCCUAUUUCCCGAACGGCCCCAGGCUCCUCCAUCAGCCUCCAUCACGGCUCCCUACGGGCUGCGGGAGCGCCCCUGGAGACGCCCCGAGAAUGUUCACAGAUGGCAACCGGCUUCUCGCCGCUCCCUCCGACCCUUCGGCCAAGCGCUCGCCGCAGGGGCCACCAUGGCUCCAGGGCACGCGAGCCGCCUGGCCUCCGGGGGGGCAGACGGGAUGCUGGUGGCCGCGACCCCGCCGACACCGCCCCCCGGGGACCAGCUCCCCGCGCACAAACAAGGGGACAGUCCCGCGGCGCGCGUCACCGGGCCACGCCGCCCGCGCCGCCCGGGCAUCCCCGGCUCGGCCGCAGGAAGCGGCGGCGGCGGCGCGGCUCGAGCGGCCUGGAAGCCUCCCCGCGCCGGGGGAAGCGAGGCCGCAGAGCCGAGGCCGGACAAACGGAACGUGCCCGAGAUCCGAGGGGCGGCUCACGCGUCGCCGCUGCGGCCGCCUCCUCCGGGACUCGGCCCGGCGGGGCAACCUCAGCCCCACGCACCGGCUGGAAUCCCCGCACGGCUUCGAGAACCACGCAGGUCCGCGCGGCAGGCGCACUCACCCCCUCCGCUGGCCGGGCCGCUCCGCCGCCGCCGGCUGUCACUGCAGCCCUCUCCCUGCCCCGCGCCGGCUCCGGACGCUAUUUAAGGCGCAGCCGCCGCCGCCGCCGCCGCCGCUCGCCGGCUGCGCCCCCGCUGCUGUCGCGGCCAAGCCAGGCUACUGCUGGCGCGCGUGCCGCGCCCGCCCCGCCCCGCCGCGCAGGUCCCGCCCCGGACACGCCCCCUCGCGCAGGCCCCGCCCCCAGGCCGGACGGCCGCGUGGCUGGCCGGGCACAGGGGGCGGUCCCCGGUGCCGUCGGGUUUCGUAA
rnacentral:lncRNA from 1 species